UGAGCCAGCCUGCUUAUGUACUCAUUCUCCC
rnacentral:piRNA from 1 species